CGAAUUUCGAGAGACAAGACAUCUUAAUGACUAUCAUUACGUACAAAAACAAAACCGUCAUCACGUUCUACUCCAUAUAUAAUCUAAAUCACAAAUCAAGUAAACUACCUUACUUGGGAGCAAAACUUUGUAAAAACCUCUGGCCAAAUUUUCGACACCAGCCCACUUUUUUGCUUCCAAAAGAUACACUUCCACAAACAACAGACGCAACAAAUCGUAAUAGAAAGUAAACCAGUUCAUCCAAGUAACUAAUCUCGUUUCGGCACAAAAUUGACAACCAUGAAGGAAAGCUUCAACUUUGAAUCGGAAAGUAAUCUCCGAAAUUAAAACGAAGAAGAAAAAAGGUCAAGUGGCGCUUAACGGUUUAUGAAAGUCAUAGCCAAAACAAAUUCAUCAAUGAAACCUGUCGAAACUCCUGUCGCAAAAUUUUUGCCACCUAGACCAACCAGCAACCACAAUUUGUAACCAAAACCGACCAAAUCACUUCAUCGCACUUCCACACCACCAACCCACAAAUAUUAGUACUAGAAAGCGACCAACCAACUAAUCUCAUGCAAAAAAACCCCAAACGCAUUUUCAAUCCAUUCGCGAACCGAAGGUCUCUUACGCAACUGCUUGGUGCGUUUUUUGCCAAACCUGGUGAAAGGCCGUCGCCUUGGUUUUUUCCCUUUUCCCUCGAAAAACUGACCUCAC